rnacentral:misc_RNA from 1 species
AAGUCGUAACAAGGUUUCCGUAGGUGAACCUGCGGAAGGAUCAUUAAUGAGAUUGGUUCGCCAACUCCAACCCGUGUACCUCCUGUUGCUUCGGCUUCGGCCGAAGAAAACUCUAAACGUCGUCUGAGUACAAAUAAUAAGUUAAAACUUUCAACAACGGAUCUCUUGGUUCCC